CUUGCUUCUCUUGAGAGCGGCGGACGGGUGAGUAAUGCCUAGGAAUCUGCCUGGUAGUGGGGGAUAACGUCCGGAAACGGACGCUAAUACCGCAUACGUCCUACGGGAGAAAGCAGGGGACCUUCGGGCCUUGCGCUAUCAGAUGAGCCUAGGUCGGAUUAGCUAGUUGGUGGGGUAAUGGCUCACCAAGGCGACGAUCCGUAACUGGUCUGAGAGGAUGAUCAGUCACACUGGAACUGAGACACGGUCCAGACUCCUACGGGAGGCAGCAGUGGGGAAUAUUGGACAAUGGGCGAAAGCCUGAUCCAGCCAUGCCGCGUGUGUGAAGAAGGUCUUCGGAUUGUAAAGCACUUUAAGUUGGGAGGAAGGGCAGUAAAUUAAUACUUUGCUGUUUUGACGUUACCGACAGAAUAAGCACCGGCUAACUCUGUGCCAGCAGCCGCGGUAAUACAGAGGGUGCAAGCGUUAAUCGGAAUUACUGGGCGUAAAGCGCGCGUAGGUGGUUCGUUAAGUUGGAUGUGAAAUCCCCGGGCUCAACCUGGGAACUGCAUUCAAAACUGACGAGCUAGAGUAUGGUAGAGGGUGGUGGAAUUUCCUGUGUAGCGGUGAAAUGCGUAGAUAUAGGAAGGAACACCAGUGGCGAAAGCGACCACCUGGACUGAUACUGACACUGAGGUGCGAAAGCGUGGGGAGCAAACAGGA
rnacentral:rRNA from 1 species